CAGAUGUUAAGAGAUCCACAUGGCGGUCUUAUCCGGACGGAGAAGAAAAGGAAAGAGGACGCCGCUGAUCAGAAAAGACGUAAUUGAUCAGAAUCCGCUGACAUUGUGAGGAGCCAUCUGGGCGUCAAGUUCUGCAGAGAGAAGAUUUAGCUGGAACAAGUCCCGGUGAGCUGGAGUCACUGAAGAAGUUCUGCAGUAAUGAUGGGUGAAACAACAACUCCCAGCAUCCCCUUACCACUGCUUAGGUCAGACUGGGAGCUGUAGUUUUAAAUGGUAAAAACUUCUUUAGCACUUUCCCAUUCUGUGGCAAUUGGUAUAUUUGAUUAUUAUUCUGACAUGUGAGCAUGGCC